UCCUCAGUAGCUCAGUGGUAGAGCGUUCGACUGUUAAUCGAGUGGUCAUAGGUUCGAAUCCUAUCUGGGGAG
rnacentral:tRNA from 1 species